UAUCAAUAAGCGGAGGAAAAGAAACCAACAGGGAUUGCCCUAGUAACGGCGAGUGAAGCGGCAACAGCUCAAAUUUGAAAUCUGGCCCUAGCGGUCCGAGUUGUACUUUGUAGAGGAUGCUUUUGGCGAGGUGCCUUCCGAGUUCCCUGGAACGGGACGCCGGAGAGGGUGAGAGCCCCGUACGGUUGGACGCCGAGCCUCUGUAUAGCUCCUUCGACGAGUCGAGUAGUUUGGGAAUGCUGCUCUAAAUGGGAGGUAAAUUUCUUCUAAAGCUAAAUACCGGCCAGAGACCGAUAGCGCACAAGUAGAGUGAUCGAAAGAUGAAAAGCACUUUGAAAAGAGGGUUAAAUAGCACGUGAAAUUGUUGAAAGGGAAGCGUUUGCGACCAGACUUUUUCCGGGGGGAUCAUCCGGCGUUCUCGCCGGUGCACUUCCCCCGGUCGAGGCCAGCAUCGGUUUCCUUAGGGGGAUAAAGGCCCGGGGAACGUGGCUCCUUCGGGAGUGUUAUAGCCCCGGGCGUAAUACCCCUCGGGGGACCGAGGAACGCGCUCUGCAAGGAUGCUGGCGUAAUGGUCGUCAACGACCCGUCUUGAAACACGGACCAAGGAGUCGAACAUUUGUGCGAGUGUUUGGGUGUCAAACCCUCACGCGUAAUGAAAGUGAACGGAGGUGAGAGCCCUCGCGGGUGCAUCAUCGACCGAUCCUGAUGUCUUCGGAUGGAUUUGAGUAAGAGCAUAACUGUUCGGACCCGAAAGAUGGUGAACUAUGCGUGGAUAGGGUGAAGCCAGAGGAAACUCUGGUGGAGGCUCGCAGCGGUUCUGACGUGCAAAUCGAUCGUCAAAUCUGCGCAUGGGGGCGAAAGACUUAUCGAACCAUCUAGUAGCUGGUUACCGC
rnacentral:rRNA from 1 species